rnacentral:rRNA from 1 species
GAUGAACGCUGGCGGCGUGCUUAACACAUGCAAGUCGAACGGUGAAGCCCAGCUUGCUGGGUGGAUUAGUGGCGAACGGGUGAGUAACACGUGAGUAACCUGCCCUUAACUCUGGGAUAAGCCUGGGAAACUGGGUCUAAUACCGGAUAGGAGCGUCCACCGCAUGGUGGGUGUUGGAAAGAUUUAUCGGUUUUGGAUGGACUCGCGGCCUAUCAGCUUGUUGGUGUGGUAAUGGCUCACCAAGGCGACGACGGGUAGCCGGCCUGAGAGGGUGACCGGCCACACUGGGACUGAGACACGGCCCAGACUCCUACGGGAGGCAGCAGUAGGGAAUAUUGCACGAUGGGCGCAAGCCUGAUGCAGCGACGCCGCGUGAGGGAUGACGGCCUUCGGGUUGUAAACCUCUUUCAGUAGGGAAGAAGCGAAAGUGACGGUACCUGCAGAAGAAGCACCGGCUAACUACGUG